rnacentral:rRNA from 1 species
GACGAACCGAGCGAACGUUGUUCGGAAUCACUGGGCUUAAAGGGCGCGUAGGCGGGUGCUCAAGUCCGUGGUGAAAUCCUCCGGCUCAACCGGAGAACUGCCUCGGAUACUGGGCGUCUCGAGUGUGGUAGGGGUAUGCGGAACUAUCGGUGGAGCGGUGAAAUGCGUUGAUAUCAUCAGGAACUCCGGUGGCGAAGGCGGCAUGCUGGACCUUCACUGACGCUGAGGCGCGAAAGCUAGGGGAGCGAACGGG